AGUACGCUAUGUGAAUCAUCGAAUCUUUGAACGCACAUUGCACUGUCUGGAAUCCCGGACAGUAUAUCUGUUUGAGUAUUGUAUCAUAAUCACUUUCAACUUCAGUGCAAACUGUUGCAGUCAGUGGAAUUGGGGAAACGUACCUAAACAUGCGAACCCUUAAAUCGAGUCCAACAUUCUUAUGGAGUAGUCCGAAAGGUGCCUCUUGAACGAAUGUGAUUCACAUAAGGAGGUCUCAUACCCUCUUUGCUUUACUAUCUCAAAUCAGAUAAGAGCACCCACUGAACUUAAGCAUAUCAAUAAGCGGAGG
rnacentral:rRNA from 1 species